CGGUAAAACGCGCUGGAGGACCGAACCCACGUAAGUUGAAAAUUGCGGGGAUGAGUUGUGGGUAGCGGUGAAAUUCCAAACGAACUUGGAGAUAGCUGGUUCUCUCCGAAAUAGCUUUAGGGCUAGCCUCGCAAAGAGGAUGCUGGAGGUAGAGCUCUGUUUGGACUAGGGGCCCGUCAAGGGUUACUGAAUUCAGAUAAACUGCGAAUUCCAGACAUUUAUGUGCGGGAGUCAGACUGCGAGUGAUAAGAUCCGUAGUCGAAAGGGAAACAGCCCAGAUCACCAGUUAAGGUCCCAAAAUUCAUGCUAAGUGGAAAAGGAUGUGGAGUUGCGCAGACAACUAGGACGUUGGCUCAGAAGCAGCCAUCAUUCAAAGAGUGCGUAAUAGCUCACUAGUCGAGUGACGCCGCGCCGAAAAUUUACCGGGGCUAAGCAUGAUACCGAAACUGUGGAUGUGCGUUUAUGCACGUGGUAGGAGAGCGUUCUAGCGGCGGUGAAGCAUGACCGAGAGGACAUGUGGAGCUUCUAGAAGUGAGAAUGCCGGUAUGAGUAACGAAAGACAGGUGAGAAUCCUGUCCGCCGCAAGACUAAGGUUUCCUGGGGCAGGCUCGUCCGCCCAGGGUAAGUCGGGACCUAAGGCGAGGCCGAGAGGCGUAGUCGAUGGACAACAGGUUGAAAUUCCUGUACUGCACCGAAUCGUUAUGAGCGAUGGAGGGACGCAGGAGGCUAGCAGCGCGUGGUGCUGGAUACCACGUUCAAGCGUCAAGUCUGAGAGUGAGUCAAAUGCUUGCUCUCAUAAGGACAAGGCGUGAUGAGGAGCGAAAUUAAAGUAGCGAAGGCUGCGACGUCACACUGCCGAGAAAAGCUUCUAGCCAGAGACGGUGCACCCGUACCGCAAACCGACACAGGUAGUCGAGGAGAGUAUCCUCAGGUGAGCGAGAGAACUCUCGUUAAGGAACUCGGCAAAAUGGCCCCGUAACUUCGGGAGAAGGGGCGCUGGUCGCAAGAUCAGCCGCAGUGAAAAGGCCCAAGCAACUGUUUAUCAAAAACACAGGCAUCUGCAAAAUCGUAAGAUGAAGUAUAGGUGCUGACACCUGCCCGGUGCUGGAAGGUUAAGAGGAGAGCUUAGCGCAAGCGAAGGUUUGAAUUGAAGCCCCAGUAAACGGCGGCCGUAACUAUAACGGUCCUAAGGUAGCGAAAUUCCUUGUCGGGUAAGUUCCGACCUGCACGAAAGGUGUAAUGAUUUGGGCACUGUCUCAACGAGAGACUCGGUGAAAUUAUAAUACCCGUGAAGAUGCGGGUUACCCGCGACAGGACGGAAAGACCCCAUGGAGCUUUACUGCAGUUUAAUAUUGGGUAUCUGUCAAGCAUGUACAGGAUAGGUAGGAGCCGGAGAAGAUAGGACGCCAGUCUUAUCUGAGGCGCUGUUGGGAUACUACCCUUGCUUGACGGAUGCUCUAACUCAGGCCUGUGAUCCAGGCCGAGGACAGUGUUUGACGGGCAGUUUGACUGGGGCGGUCGCCUCCUAAAGUGUAACGGAGGCGCCCAAAGGUUCCCUCAGAAUGGUUGGAAAUCAUUCGCAGAGUGUAAAGGUAAAAGGGAGCUUGACUGCGAGAGAGACAACUCGAGCAGGUACGAAAGUAGGGCUUAGUGAUCUGGUGGUACCGUAUGGAAGGGCCAUCACUCAACGGAUAAAAGCUACCCUGGGGAUAACAGGCUUAUCUCCCCCAAGAGUUCACAUCGACGGGGAGGUUUGGCACCUCGAUGUCGGCUCGUCGCAUCCUGGGGCUGAAGUCGGUCCCAAGGGUUGGGCUGUUCGCCCAUUAAAGCGGCACGCGAGCUGGGUUCAGAACGUCGUGAGACAGUUCGGUCCCUAUCCGUCGUGGGCGUAGGAAAUUUGAGAGGAGCUGUCCUUAGUACGAGAGGACCGGGAUGGACGCACCGCUGGUGUACCAGUUGUCUUGCCAAAGGCAUCGCUGGGUAGCUAUGUGCGGACGGGAUAAGCGCUGAAAGCAUCUAAGUGCGAAGCCCCCCUCAAGAUGAGAUUUCCCAUUUCUUCAAGAAAGUAAGACACCUCAGAGACGAUGAGGUAGAUAGGCCGGGAGUGGAAGAGCCGUGAGGCUUGGAGCGGACCGGUACUAAUCAGUCGAGGACUUGACCAAAA
rnacentral:rRNA from 1 species